GGCUUAACACAUGCAAGUCGAGCGGGCGUAGCAAUACGUCAGCGGCAGACGGGUGAGUAACGCGUGGGAACGUACCUUUUGGUUCGGAACAACACAGGGAAACUUGUGCUAAUACCGGAUAAGCCCUUACGGGGAAGGAUUUAUCGCCGAAAGAUCGGCCCGCGUCUGAUUAGCUAGUUGGUAGGGUAAUGGCCUACCAAGGCGACGAUCAGUAGCUAAUCUGAGAGGAUGAUCAGCCACAUUGGGACUGAGACACGGCCCAAACUCCUACGGGAGGCAGCAGUGGGGAAAUUUAAGCAAUGGGGGCAACCCUGAUCCAGCCAUGCCGUGAGUGAUGAAGGCCCUAGGGUUGUAAAGCUC
rnacentral:rRNA from 1 species